rnacentral:lncRNA from 1 species
CAGCUGAUAAAUUCGUCAGAAAGUAUAUCCUAAAGUGAACCAUUCAUCUCACCUGCUAUGCAAGACUUCAACUGCUCAAGUCUGGCCACUGUGAUCCAGAGCCUCCUCAUGGCUGCCUGAGGAAGACAAUCGCCUCCUGUUUGCCUUUGGAACAAGACGUAGAACUUGCAGCUCCUCCAGCACCAUGUCUGACUGCACAGUGCCCUGCUUCCUGCCAUGAUGAUAAUGGACUGAACUUCUGAAACUGUAAGCCAGCACCAAUGAAAUGUUUUUUCUUUAUAAGAAUUGCCUUAGCUGGGCGUGGUAGCACACGCCUUUAAUCCCAGCACUUGGGAGGCAGAGG